UAGAGCAGGAUUGGGAAGAGAAAACAUAUGUGGAGUUGGGAAACACUGAAGUUAGUAAUGAACAAGAACAGGCAGAUACAGUACCAAUAAAACAAGAAGAAACAGGCAGCAGUAGUGAAUCAAGUUCUAGCUCUGAGAGAGAAACAGAGGAAUCGCCUGACACAGACACAGACACUAAGGCAGAAAUACAACCACGCAGAUCAGAGAGAACAACCAAAGGCAUCCUGGAACAUCUGGUUUGGAAACACGUUGCUGGACUAGUGGACCUUUGGUCUGAUCCAGUGGUGCACUGGUUAUAUUUUUAAGAACAGGCAACUUCCUACAUUGCAAGCAGAAGUGAAAUAAAAAGCCAUACAUCUCGAUGCAUCCUUACCAGUUGGCAUCCGUCUCCAGAAAGCAACACAGCCAUUGAAAAGCAACCAGUUGAAGGGGACAUAUGGCCAGGCUCAGCACUGUUUAGGGGUUGAGCAGUGGACUGUGAAGAGGAUCAGUGAGGAAUUCAAGGAGGGGCUAUGAAAACACAAGAAUAUCUGGCAAAAGAGAGUGUGAAGCAGCAGCAGAGGCUAGCAGUGGAUGAAGAGUGAGGAGCCUACCUGGAAUCUGAAAUCACUUGACAUAAGAGUUAUGGAAGGUGUGGAGCAGGGAAGGAGAUUACUACAAGGAAGAGGCUGCUGAUUCCUAAAUAUGGUCCUUAAUUUCUUAACCACCGUUUGGUUAACCACAGGGUGACUCAUCAAACCAUUAUGAGCUGGAGAUCAGUGAACAGUUUUGUGUGUUUCACUUGCAUGCCAGAAAUAUAAUUUGAACAUCAUUUUAUGACCUGUGAAGAUGGCACGUUAAUGUUCAUGUUAAAUAUUCUACAAGAAUCUUAUUUUGAAAAUGAAAAUGUGAUCUUCAAAUGUGAAGAAGCUUAUUUAGGCCACCAAUAUUCCCAGAGGCUCUUUCUAAUGAUAGCUUUGCACUUGUGCAAGGUGGGGUACCCAGUU